CGGGGGGAGCAAGCGUUGUUCGGAUUUACUGGGCGUAAAGGGCGCGUAGGCGGCCACCGCAAGUCGACUGUGAAAUCUCCGGGCUUAACCCGGAAAGGUCAGCCGAUACUGCGGGGCUAGAGUGCAGAAGGGGCAACUGGAAUUCUCGGUGUAGCGGUGAAAUGCGUAGAUAUCGAGAGGAACACCUGCGGCGAAGGCGGGUUGCUGGGCUGACACUGACGCUGAUGCGCGAAAGCUAGGGGAGCGAACGGGAUUAGAUACCCCGGUAGUCCUAGCCUUAAACGAUGAAUGCUUGGUGUCUGGGGUUCUAUAGUCCCCGGGUGCCGUCGCUAACGCUUUAAGCAUUCCGCCUGGGGAGUACGGUCGCAAGACUG
rnacentral:rRNA from 1 species